UUAUGAGUGAGUUAAUGAAGAAGAAGACGGAGGUAUUAUAGAUUGUUUCAUUAAUCAAAGAAACCAAGUCUUGCCGUUUUUGCUAUUAACUUGAAAACUACGUGUCGUUUAUUUUUGUUAUUAAAACGAAAGAACGGCAGAACGUCCGAAGUUAUAACAAAACCUUAAACCUCGUUUGUCCAAAAAAAGUGAAGAUUAACAUUGAAAUCGAAGCGAGAGAGAAAUCGAAAUCGAAGGCCAAAGAUGAUGAGGAGAUUGAGCUCGAUUGCAAAGGUUUUGGUAGCUGUACCACUGGGACUUGUUAUUGUAUUGGAGAGUGUUUGGUUAUAUCGGUUUAUAACCGAUUAUCUUACUAAAGCAUAUUCCUGGAAUCUUCCUCUGUUCUUAUCUUACCUGUAACAAGCUCCGACUCUUUACUUCGUGACUAGUUGUAGAUACUCCUUGAUUUGCUAUUCUAGUUUGAUCUCUCUUA